CCCCUGCUAACUGAGCAAAGAGACACCUUUUUGGUGGUGAUUCUCUUAUAUUUAGCAGCAGGGGGAGCAACUGGCCCUAUCCAAACCAAGCAUAGCAUCCCUCCAGUGGUUCUUGCUGGUAUAUGCCUUAUGUUUCUUU